rnacentral:misc_RNA from 1 species
AACGCACAUUGCGCCUAUUAGUAUUCUAGUAGGCAUGCCUGUUCGAGCGUCAUUAAACCCCUCAAGCCCAGCUUGGUAUUGGGUGCUUGUCCCGCCUCCUGCGCGGCGACUCACCUCAAAGUCAUUGGCAGCCCGCAAUCGCCGGCCGUGAGCGCAGCACAGACGCGCUUGUGGAACCCGGCGGCUCGGCUCUCCAAAAGCUUAAUUCAACCACAAUUGACCUCGGAUCAGGUAGGGAUACCCGCUGAACUUAA